rnacentral:lncRNA from 1 species
UAAAUUUUAGGAGGUUCUUACUUUACCCGAGAUGAGACACUAACGUGAUUAGAUUAACCGAGGCGUCUCCCUCUAUUUGUGCUAUUUCGGUUCUAAAAGAGUGCAACUACGUGUAUAUAUAUGGAUCGAAAACCAUGUUUCUAAUAAUCACAACAAACGAAACUGCACCUUAUUACAACAUCAAUAUCAUACAUCGAGUUGCGGGCAACGAGUCCGAAUACGAUUUAUGUAUCAAAGAAGAACUACUUAAUUCCGGCG